rnacentral:lncRNA from 10 species
ACGGAUCACCCGGGUUAUGUAACUCUUGUCUAGGCUCUGCCUACGGGGCUUUGUGACACAUCUCUGCACUGUUCACCCUGGUGAGGGAACUCUUGUCUACGCUCUGCCUACAGGAGGCUUUAUGACUUAUACCUGCACUGAUAACCUAUGUUAUGUUACACUUCUCUAGGCUCUGUCUACACGGGAAUUCUCACAUAUCUCUGCACUGAUCACCCAGGUUACGGACUCUUGUCUUGGAUUUGCCUAUGUGGGCAUUGUGACAUAUCUCUGCACUGAUCACCCAGGUGAUGUAACUGUUGUAUAAGCUCUGCCUACAGGGGAAUUGUGAGAGAUCUCGGCACUGAUCACCCAAG